CACGUAGGGCGCAAGCGUUGUCCGGAAUUAUUGGGCGUAAAGAGCUCGUAGGCGGUCUGUUGCGUCCGCUGUGAAAACUCGGGGCUUAACCCCGAGCCUGCAGUGGAUACGGGCAGACUAGAGGUAGGUAGGGGAGAAUGGAAUUCCCGGUGUAGCGGUGAAAUGCGCAGAUAUCAGGAGGAACACCGGUGGCGAAGGCGGAUCUCUGGGCCUUACCUGACGCUGAGGAGCGAAAGCUGGGGGAGCAAACAGG
rnacentral:rRNA from 1 species